rnacentral:tRNA from 1 species
GGGCCCUUAGCUCAACGGUGGAGCAGGGGACUCAUAAUCCUUUGGUUGUCAGUUCGAAUCUGGCAGGGCCCACCA